UACGGGGGGAGCAAGCGUUGUUCGGAUUUACUGGGCGUAAAGGGCGCGUAGGCGGGUGUCCAAGUCUGGGGUGAAAUCCUCCGGCCCAACCGGAGAACAGCCUCGGAUACUGGAUGUCUCGAGGGGGGUAGGGGCACGCGGAACUUCCGGUGGAGCGGUGAAAUGCGUAGAUAUCGGAAGGAACGCCGGUGGCGAAAGCGGCGUGCUGGACCCCUUCUGACGCUGAGGCGCGAAAGCCAGGGGAGCGAACGGG
rnacentral:rRNA from 1 species